AACGUAGGAGACAAACGUUAUCCGGAGUUACUGGGCGUAAAGGGCGUGUAGGCGGUUUCGUAAGUCUGGCGUGAAAUAUCUCGGCUUAACCGAGGCAGGUCGUCGGAUACUGCGGAACUAGAGGACGGUAGAGGCGUGUGGAAUUCCGGGUGUAGUGGUGAAAUGCGCAGAUAUCAGGAGGAACACCGGUGGCGAAGGCGGGUCUCUGGGCAGUAACUGACGCUGAGGAGCGAAAGCGUGGGGAGCGAACAGG
rnacentral:rRNA from 1 species